AGUGAACGCUGGCGGUAGGCCUAACACAUGCAAGUCGAACGGCAGCACAGUAAGAGCUUGCUCUUACGGGUGGCGAGUGGCGGACGGGUGAGGAAUACAUCGGAAUCUACUUUUUCGUGGGGGAUAACGUAGGGAAACUUACGCUAAUACCGCAUACGACCUACGGGUGAAAGCAGGGGAUCUUCGGACCUUGCGCGAUUGAAUGAGCCGAUGUCGGUUUAGCUAGUUGGCGGGGUAAAGGCCCACCAAGGCGACGAUCCGUAGCUGGUCUGAGAGGAUGAUCAGCCACACUGGAACUGAGACACGGUCCAGACUCCUACGGGAGGCAGCAGUGGGGAAGAUUGGACAAUGGGCGCAAGCCUGAUCCAGCCAUACCGCGUGGGUGAAGAAGGCCUUCGGGUUGUAAAGCCCUUUUGUUGGGAAAGAAAAGCAGCAGGUUAAUACCCCGCUGUUCUGACGGUACCCAAAGAAUAAGCACCGGCUAACUUCGU
rnacentral:rRNA from 1 species